rnacentral:rRNA from 1 species
CACUCCUGCGGGAGGCAGCAGUGGGGAAUUUUGGACAAUGGGGGCAACCCUGAUCCAGCAAUGCCGCGUGAGUGAAGAAGGCCUUCGGGUUGUAAAGCUCUUUUGUCAGGGAAGAAACGGUGGUGGCGAAUAACUACUACUAAUGACGGUACCUGAAGAAUAAGCACCGGCUAACUACGUGCCAGCAGCCGCGGUAAUACGUAGGGUGCAAGCGUUAAUCGGAAUUACUGGGCGUAAAGCGUGCGCAGGCGGUUGUGUAAGUCAGAUGUGAAAUCCCCGGGCUCAACCUGGGAAUUGCAUUUGAGACUGCACGGCUAGAGUGUGUCAGAGGGGGGUAGAAUUCCACGUGUAGCAGUGAAAUGCGUAGAUAUGUGGAGGAAUACCGAUGGCGAAGGCAGCCCCCUGGGAUAACACUGACGCUCAUGCACGAAAGCGUGGGGAGCAAACAGGAUUAGAUACCCUUGUAGUCCCAUG